AAGUCGUAACAAGGUUUCCGUAGGUGAACCUGCGGAAGGAUCAUUACUUGAUAUCAAUGCUUAGUGCGUUUCAGACACAUUGUCCAUUUGAUUUCAACAUCACACCAAUCUGUGCUCUUUUUUUCCCACUCCGCACUCUUUGCGGCUGCUGCUGCUGCUGCAACUUCACUGUUGCCAGUGUGCAUGUAUGCCCUACUUUGUUUAUACACUGACUGUGUUGAGUGUGGAUCUUGCAUACACACUUGUGUUAUGUAGUCCCUCUCAUCUGUGGAUCUCAGCUUCAUUGCUGUGUCCACUUUUGUAAUUCACUCCAUUGGGUGCUGUACGUGUGUGUGCAUGGGAACAGUAACUGUUCCUGUGCACAUAUAUGUCUUAGCUCCACCAACUGGAAUGAGAAAUACAACUCCUAACAAUGGAUAUCUCGGCUCUC
rnacentral:misc_RNA from 1 species